rnacentral:rRNA from 1 species
UACGAAGGGGGCGAGCGUUGUUCGGAUUUACUGGGCGUAAAGGGCGCGCAGGCGGCUCAUUUUGUCAGGCGUGAAAGCCCCGGGCUUAACCUGGGAACUGCGUUUGAUACGGAUGGGCUAGAGUUCGGGAGAGGAGAGUGGAAUUCCCAGUGUAGAGGUGAAAUUCGUAGAUAUUGGGAAGAACACCAGUGGCGAAGGCGGGUCUCUGGACAGUUCCUGACGCUGAGGCACGAAGGCCAGGGGAGCAAACGGG